UGGCUCUCUAGGGAGCAUGUGCACACUUGUCAUCUUUAUAUCUCCACCUGUGCACCUUUUGUAGAUCUGGAUAUCUCUCUGAGUGCCUAGCUAGCCAUUCAGGUUUGAGGAUUGACUUUAUUGUCUCUCCUUACAUUUCCAGGCCUAUGUUUCUUCAUAUACCCCAAUGUAUGUCAUAGAAUGUAAUAAAAUGGGCCUUUGUGCCUAUAAAUCUAUACAACUUUCAGCAACGGAUCUCUUGGCUCUCGCAUCGAUGAAGAACGCAGCGAAAUGCGAUAAGUAAUGUGAAUUGCAGAAUUCAGUGAAUCAUCGAAUCUUUGAACGCACCUUGCGCUCCUUGGUAUUCUGAGGAGCAUGCCUGUUUGAGUGUCAUUAAUAUAUCAACCUCUACAACUUUUGUUUGUUGAGUUGUUGGAUGUGGGGGCUUUGCUGGCUUCUCUCUCUGAGGUCAGCUCCCCUGAAAUACAUUAGCGGAAUGAUCUCCGUUCAUUGGUGUGAUAACUAUCUACGCUAUUGACGUGAAGUAGUUUGGCUUAUAACAGUCCAUUGACUUGGACAAAUUUUCAUUAAUGUGACCUCAAAUCAGG
rnacentral:rRNA from 1 species